UACGGGGGGGGCAAGCGUUGUUCGGAAUUACUGGGCGUAAAGGGCUCGUAGGUGGCCAACUAAGUCAGACGUGAAAUCCCUCGGCUUAACCGGGGAACUGCGUCUGAUACUGGAUGGCUUGAGUUUGGGAGAGGGACGCGGAAUUCCAGGUGUAGCGGUGAAAUGCGUAGAUAUCUGGAGGAACACCGGUGGCGAAGGCGGCGUCCUGGACCAAUACUGACACUGAUGAGCGAAAGCCAGGGGGAGCAA
rnacentral:rRNA from 1 species